ACGUUAGCUGCAGAAGAAGCACCGGCUAACUCCGUGCCAGCAGCCGCGGUAAUACGGAGGGUGCGAGCGUUAAUCGGAAUUACUGGGCGUAAAGCGCAUGCAGGUGGUUUGUUAAGUCAGAUGUGAAAGCCCGGGGCUCAACCUCGGAAUUGCAUUUGAAACUGGCAAACUAGAGUACUGUAGAGGGGGUAGAAUUUCAGGUGUAGCGGUGAAAUGCGUAGAGAUCUGAAGGAAUACCGGUGGCGAAGGCGGCCCCCUGGACAGAUACUGACACUCAGAUGCGAAAGCGUGGGGAGCAAACAGGAUUAGAUACCCUGACUAG
rnacentral:rRNA from 1 species